rnacentral:rRNA from 1 species
AUGGUCCGGGUAUGGUUCUUCGCGUAUCGUUCUUGCCGAUCCAAAACAAGUGAGACCAAAAGGCUCUCUGGCCGGAACCAGAGAAAAGCUUGGUUUGCGCAGAGACUUGCGGCUGGGCCAGACUGGACGAGGGUGUCACAAGGGAACAAGAGAGGAGGCGCGACCAAAGACCACUCGGGGUCGGGCAGGAGGCAGCAAGCGCGGCGCACAGGCCAGGCGCGGCGGCAACUUGCUGACAAGGCGACGAGGCAGAUGAAGGCGAGGUGGUGGAGGCCAGGUCUGAUGGGGGGAGAUGCGAGGGGACCGGAUUCACCCGUUAUUCCGUCGGACCUUGGGCAGAACGGCGUCAGCAGAAGGGGAUGA